rnacentral:rRNA from 1 species
CCUGACGCAGCAACGCCGCGUGAGUGAUGAAGGCCUUCGGGUCGUAAAGCUCUGUCGGGAGGGGAAGAAGUGAUUGAGGGUUAAUACCCCUUGAUCUUGACGGUACCUCCGAAGGAAGCACCGGCUAACUCCGUGCCAGCAGCCGCGGUAAUACGGAGGGUGCAAGCGUUGUUCGGAAUUAUUGGGCGUAAAGCGCGUGUAGGCGGUUUCUUAAGUCUGAUGUGAAAGCCCCGGGCUCAACCGUGGGAAGUGCAUUGGAAACUGAGAAACUUGAGUACGGGAGAGGGUAGUGGAAUUCCUAGUGUAGGAGUGAAAUCCGUAGAUAUUAGGAGGAACACCGGUGGCGAAGGCGGCUGCCUGGACCGAUACUGACGCUGAGACGCGAAAGCGUGGGGAGCAAACAGGAUUAGAUACCCUGGUAGUCCACGCCGUAAACGAUGAGUACUAGGUGUUGCGGGUAUUGACCCCUGCAGUGCCGCAGCUAACGCAUUAAGUACUCCGCCUGGGAAGUACGGCCGCAAGGCUA